rnacentral:rRNA from 1 species
GAUGAACGCUGGCGGCGUGCUUAACACAUGCAAGUCGAACGAAGCACUUUAUUUGAUUUCCUUCGGGACUGAUUAUUUGUGACUGAGUGGCGGACGGGUGAGUAACGCGUGGGUAACCUGCCUUAUACAGGGGGAUAACAGUUAGAAAUGACUGCUAAUACCGCAUAAGCGCACAGGAUUGCAUGAUCUGGUGUGAAAAACUCCGGUGGUAUAAGAUGGACCCGCGUCUGAUUAGCUGGUUGGUGAGGUAACGGCCCACCAAGACUACGAUGGAUAGGGGUUCUGAGAGGAAGGUCCCCCACAUUGGAACUGAGACACGGUCCAAAACUCCUACGGGAGGCAGCAGUGAGGAAUAUUGGUCAAUGGACGCGAGUCUGAACCAGCCAAGUAGCGUGAAGGAUGACUGCCCUAUGGGUUGUAAACUUCUUUUAUAUGGGAAUAAAGUGGUCCACGUGUGGAUUUUUGUAUGUACCAUAUGAAUAAGG